ACACAAUAGACAACAACCCAUUCAUUUAAGCCAUUUGAAACCUAAAGACCCAAGUCCAAAAGUUCAAGGAGCCCAAAAAAAAAAAAAAAAAAGCCUAAAUUGAUAUUACCCGGUGAAGCCCCUGUCCUUUGUUCCCAAUUCCCAGAAACUCAUGAACAUAGAGGCCGGAGCAAAACCCUAGCUCAAUGGUCGUCAGUUCUCCACCGUCUCCAUCUCCAUCUCCAUCGUGAUUCUUCCAUCGAUGUGCCGUCGCCUUGACUACCGUGGCAAAAUAUGAUGCAAUAUGGUUGAUAGUGUCUAUUGAAAGCAUUCCAGUGAGGAAGAAGCUGCUGCAAUCAAGUCUGCCGGAAAGGCCUGGUACAAAACCAUGAUGACAGACAGUGACUAUGCGGAAUUUGAGAAUUUCUCCAAGUGGCUUGGCGUUACUCGGUAGAAGAUCCAUUAUCAUUAAUCUUUCUGAUCAUUCUUCAAAAUCUAGUUCAGGUUGUUUAGGAAUUUGUCGAGCGACGUGUGCAAGGGCACAUUUUCUGGCUAUUCUCUUUAGACUCAUUUACUUUGGAUAUUGUUAUUUUUAUGGGAAUUCAUAGCUUUUCAAAGAAGUCUUGCGUCCA